CCGCGGGGCCGGCCGGGCCCCGCCUGCGGAGCGACCAUAGAGAGGGCGCGCAGAGCGGCGGGGCCGGAAGCGGAAGCGGGCGCGGCGGGGCAGAGCGGCGGCGCCAUGAAGCCGGCGGUGGACGAGAUGUUCCCAGAGGGCGCCGGGCCCUACGUGGACCUCGACGAGGCAGGGGGAAGCACGGGGCUGCUGAUGGACCUGGCGGCCAACGAGAAGGCGGUGCACGCGGACUUCUUCAACGAUUUUGAAGAUCUCUUUGAUGAUGAUGACAUCCAGUGAACUUAGUUGUCCUGCUAUGCAGUGCUGGGAUGUGGAGUUUUCUCUAGGAUCACCUGUGGUGUCCGUUAUUUAUUAAAAUAAUUAAAACAGGAAAAUCCUGCGGAGGGGUGGAACCUGUGUAAGCUGCCAGAUGGUGAAAGAUAACUAAGGAGAGAAUUGUGGACUGUUACUUCUAGGAAGAUGUUUGGUGCCGUGACUACGUCCCUGGGGAGCCCGUUCCAGUGCGCGACCACCCUCUCGGUGAAGAACCUCUUCCUGAUGUCCAGCCUGAACCUCCCCUGUGGCAGCUUGACACCAUUCCCUCGCGUCCUAUCACUGGUGAUUAAGGAGAAUAGAUCGGCGAUAAUUCCAUUGAUUUAUCACAGAAAUAAUCCUGUGACUGAUCUUUCUUUAAAGAGACUUAAAUUUCAUCUGGAAUGUUGAUAGCUGUAAAUGCUAAACUGUGUGGAAAAAUCCCAAAUGAAACACUUUCCUUCCAUACCUCUUGCACAGGUUUUUGCAUGUUUUUAAACUUAAAAAGGUUCUACACGAGAACAGUAGAACUAAGUGGUUUUUUAUUGUGUUCUUGUGGAUUUCUCAACAUCUUCCAUUUUGUCAUUCAGACUACCUUAGAGCAGUGUUCUGACACUUACUCUGCUCAGUGCCUGGCACUACAAUGUGUCCCUCAAGGAACGCGAGCUCCCUCAGGCUUGCUGAAGCAGUCUGCUUUUCCAUUUUAGCUCUUGCUUUGGUUGAAGUGGGAGGGAUUUCACGCUUUCUUCAUUGAUAGCAAUGUAAACAUUGACCGUUGAGUGUUAGAAACAAUCCAAACAAAGUUGCUGUCUUCAGUGCUGUGCUUUCUCUCAGCUAGGUUUUGGGAAGUGAGCUGUUACCAAACAGAGGGUGCGUUCUGAGCAGGUGCACUUAAAAAAAGCUUUAAGAAACAGCUGUUCCUUCUGCUGUUCUGGUUGUUUUUGCUGAUGCUCGGGUUCUUCAAGUUAGUCAUCUUUGCUUUUGGAAUACUUCAUUGUCCUUGUUUUAUAUAGGUUUGUCCUCUGGUUUUCACUUGCCUUCCUUAACCUUUAAGAAACACAAGUCUGAACUUUGAUCACAGCAGCGAGAAUAUAUGUUCUACAAAAUAAAUUCUUCUUGAAUUAUUAGUUGAUCUUCAGUAUGAAUAUUUCCUCAGUCCCUUCCACCUUUUUUGAGGGGUUUAGCCACCUGCUCAAGGUAGGUAUAGCUAACUCCUUUUUGUGAAGCUUUCCAGAAUCUCAAUGUUUCAUGUUAAAAAGUAGUGUAAGCAGACUGUUGGCACGUGGGAAGUAUGUCCGUAGGGGAGGAGCUUACUAAUCCCAACACUUUCACACAGCAUAAAAUUUCUUAUGAAGAAAGCUCCUUGAUUAGAUGAACUGUCUUGGUGUGCAGCUGAUACCCAUCUGUUUGUAGCUGCUGUGAGCACUAAUUUGAUAUUACUUCCUGGGUACUGAGCUUGCAUUUAAAUCUGGCACCUGACUCGGGUUUGUUCUCUCAGGACACGGUGAAAUGAACAGGUAUGUUCUUCAGAGUGGGGUGACACCGAGGGCAUGUGUUGUGUUGUCAGUCGUCUGGAGUAUAAAGCUGCCUCUGCAAUGAGACUGGAUGGAUGGGGAGUGUUUAUAUAACUUCCUUUUUCUAAGAAGGCUUCAGAGUAAGAAUUUUCAUCAAGGACUUCAAUUUGUUUGGGUCUCUUUUGGGACAAUAUUAAAAUGGAAAGGCUAAUUUGAAGAACAAAACACCCUUGAGCUUCAAAUUGUUUCUACAUUAGCAUUUGUCAAGUCUUUUGGUCUA